AAAAAUAUGUGAUAGGCAGUAUCAUAACUAAUGAGGUUAAUCCGAGGUGUGAUUAUUGCUAUUUGAAAACUUUUCCUUUUAAAUUUGCCUUUUUAAUUAGAUAAUCUCCAGGUAACAGAAUGUCCAUUGCUGCAAAAUCCUGCAGAAC